rnacentral:rRNA from 1 species
AUUGAAUGCUGGCGGCAGGCCUAACACAUGCAAGUCGAGCGGGGUUUUCGGACCUAGCGGCGGACGGGUGAGUAAUGCGUAGGAAGCUGCCCGAUAGAGGGGGAUACCAGUUGGAAACGACUGUUAAUACCGCAUAAUGUCUACGGACCAAAGUGUGGGACCUUCGGGCCACAUGCUAUCGGAUGCGCCUACGUGGGAUUAGCUAGUUGGUGGGGUAAUGGCUCACCAAGGCGACGAUCUCUAGCUGGUUUGAGAGGAUGAUCAGCCACACUGGAACUGAGACACGGUCCAGACUCCUACGGGAGGCAGCAGUGGGGAAUAUUGGACAAUGGGCGCAAGCCUGAUCCAGCCAUGCCGCGUGUGUGAAGAAGGCCUUCGGGUUGUAAAGCACUUUCAGCGAGGAGGAAGGGUGGUGUGUUAAUAGCACAUCAUUUUGACGUUACUCGCAGAAGAAGCACCGGCUAACUCUGUGCCAGCCGCCGCUGUAAAAC